UGUAUUAUAGUGUAUGAUGCACUAAGAAUUUUGAUUUCUUAAGAUUAAGUUUAAUUCUUAAUUAUACAA
rnacentral:tRNA from 1 species